rnacentral:rRNA from 1 species
UGAUGAAGGCUUUCGGGUCGUAAAGCACUGUUGUAUGGGAAGAACAGCUAGAAUAGGGAAUGAUUUUAGUUUGACGGUACCAUACCAGAAAGGGACGGCUAAAUACGUGCCAGCAGCCGCGGUAAUACGUAUGUCCCGAGCGUUAUCCGGAUUUAUUGGGCGUAAAGCGAGCGCAGACGGUUGAUUAAGUCUGAUGUGAAAGCCCGGAGCUCAACUCCGGAAUGGCAUUGGAAACUGGUUAACUUGAGUGCAGUAGAGGUAAGUGGAACUCCAUGUGUAGCGGUGGAAUGCGUAGAUAUAUGGAAGAACACCAGUGGCGAAGGCGGCUUACUGGACUGUAACUGACGUUGAGGCUCGAAAGUGUGGGUAGCAAACAGGAUUAGAUACCCUGGUAGUCCACACCGUAAACGAUGAACACUAGGUGUUAGGAGGUUUCCGCCUCUUAGUGCCGAAGCUAACGCAUUAAGUGUUCCGCCUGGGGAGUACGACCGCAAGGUUGAAACUCAAAGGAAUUGACGGGGACCCGCACAAGCGGUGGAGCAUGUGGUUUAAUUCGAAGCAACGCGAAGAACCUUACCAGGUCUUGACAUCCUUUGAAGCUUUUAGAGAUAGAAGUGUUCUCUUCGGAGACAAAGUGACAGGUGGUGCAUGGUCGUCGUCAGCUCGUGUCGUGAGAUGUUGGGUUAAGUCCCGCAACGAGCGCAACCCUUAUUGUUAGUUGCCAGCAUUCAGAUGGGCACUCUAGCGAGACUGCCGGUGACAAACCGGAGGAAGGCGGGGACGACGUCAGAUCAUCAUGCCCCUUAUGACCUGGGCUACACACGUGCUACAAUGGCGUAUACAACGAGUUGCCAACCCGCGAGGGUGAGCUAAUCUCUUAAAGUACGUCUCAGUUCGGAUUGUAGUCUGCAACUCGACUACAUGAAGUCGGAAUCGCUAGUAAUCGCGGAUCAGCACGCCGCGGUGAAUACGUUCCCGGGUCUUGUACACACCGCCCGUCACACCAUGGGAGUUUGUAAUGCCCAAAGCCGGUGGCCUAACC